UACAUGCUGACGAGCGGCGGACGGGUGAGUAACGCUUGGGAAUCUGCCUGAUAGUGGGGGACAACCCGGGGAAACUCGGGCUAAUACCGCAUACGCACUACGGUGGAAAGCCGGGGACCGCAAGGCCUGGCGCUAACAGAUGAGCCCAAGUCGGAUUAGCUAGUUGGUAGGGUAAUGGCCUACCAAGGCGACGAUCCGUAACUGGUCUGAGAGGACGACCAGUCACACCGGAACUGAGACACGGUCCGGACUCCUACGGGAGGCAGCAGUGGGGAAUAUUGGACAAUGGGCGAAAGCCUGAUCCAGCGACGCCGCGUGGGUGAAGAAGGCCUGCGGGUUGUAAAGCCCUUUCGGUGGGGAAGAAAAGCCUCGAGCUAACACCUCGGGGUCUUGACGUAACCCAUAGAAGAAGCACCGGCUAACUCUGUGCCAGCAGCCGCGGUAAUACAGAGGGUGCGAGCGUUAAUCGGAAUUACUGGGCGUAAAGCGCGCGUAGGCGGCUUUGCAAGUCGGGUGUGAAAUCCCCAGGCUUAACCUGGGAACUGCAUUCGAGACUGCAUUGCUAGAGUAUGGGAGAGGGAAGUGGAAUUUCCGGUGUAGCGGUGAAAUGCGUAGAUAUGCGGAGGAACACCGAUGGCGAAGGCAAUCCCCUGGGCCUGCACUGACGCUCAUGCACGAAAGCGUGGGGAGCAAACAGGAUUAGAUACCCUGGUAGUCCACGCCCUAAACGAUGUCAAC
rnacentral:rRNA from 1 species